UACGAAGGGGGCUAGCGUUGCUCGGAAUCACUGGGCGUAAAGCGCACGUAGGCGGAUUGUUAAGUCAGGGGUGAAAUCCUGGAGCUCAACUCCAGAACUGCCUUUGAUACUGGCGAUCUCGAGUCCGGGAGAGGAGAGUGGAACUGCGAGUGUAGAGGUGAAAUUCGUAGAUAUUCGCAAGAACACCAGUGGCGAAGGCGGCUCACUGGCCCGGUACUGACGCUGAGGUGCGAAAGCGUGGGGAGCAAACAGG
rnacentral:rRNA from 1 species